rnacentral:sRNA from 1 species
AACAGGCAGAAGCUGUGAUCAAUUACAACUAAUUGAUCACAACCAGUUACAGAUUUCUUUGUUCCUUCUCCACUCCCACUGCUUCACUUGACUAGCUUAAA